rnacentral:rRNA from 1 species
GUCAACAACCAAAAUUACUCGACAUGUGUAAGGUCUCGUCGGAUUUCAGAAGCUAAGCAGGUUUACAAACCUGGUCAGUACUUGGAUGGGUGACCGCUUGAGUUUUCCAGGGUGUUGUGGGUG